rnacentral:lncRNA from 1 species
UAGAAACACAUGAGCACAAAGAAAACAGAUGUAAUUGGCUUCUGGAGGUCAGGUUAUGUAAAGACCCCGGUGAACAGAGAAGGCAUCCUUUAAGAAGAACCUCUGAGGUUCCCUUGAUUUGAAUGACUUCACUCUUCCUAAAACGCGAUGCUACGCAAACAAUUCACAGUGAACUCAGCGUUGUGGAUUUUCUUACCUAGGCAGACGAGCUGGAAGAAAUGCGGUCAGUGCAUAACUGGUACUGAGGUUGCGGCGGCUACAAAAGCAGAUGGUGGUUUUCAUUGCUCCGAGUUCUGCUCCUGGCUCUGCAAGGGAGGCAUCUGCGCUCUCCAGCACUACCGGAUAUUCCGCCUAGUGCCCACAGUAUAUUUCAUCCAGUGCUUCAGUCAUCUUGUCACAUAUUUUAUCAUCCAUUCAUCUUUCUCAGAGAGCAGGCCUACAAAACAGUUGAACGAAAGCCAAAAUAACUCUUGACUUUUGUUGGAGGGAAAUAUUGACCAAUGGUGGGGAAAAAAUCUACGUUGAAUUUGCACACGAUAUACUUAUCAAGACUUGCUGUGAUGCUGCUGUUAAAACCUUCAUUUUGCUGAUAAUUUUUGCAUUACAAAUACAUUUUUUCAUGUCCAGUGGCCUCUGAUCCUAAUGCUUUCCAGCCCUUCUUUUUUUCCUUCCCAGUUAACAGCCAAUGGACUUGAGCUUUCUGAUCAAGCACCUACUGAGUGAAUGAGAAUCGUAGAAUGGUUUGAGUUGGAAGGGUCUCUUAAAAGUCAUCUGGCCCCACUCCCCUGCCAUGAACAGGGACACCCAUAGCUCCAUCACAUGCUCAGAGCCCUGUGCAGCCUGACCUUGGGUGUCUGCAAGGACGGGGCAUCUACCACCUCUUUGGGCAAAUCCUGGGGUUUUUUUGCUCAAUUUUCUUUUUCCUAACGCAACCAGUCUAGAAACAGUCCUAUUCAAAAAACAUUAAAAAAGUGAUAAUCCAACCCAGUUUUUCCAGUGGAGGAUUAUCCUAGCAUAAGAGAUUUAGCUAGAGAUUGCAGUUGCUUGUAGGAACUUCCAGCCCUAAUCAGUGUCUGGGGCAGGUUAUGUUCAUGAUGUGAAGAGCCACUCUCAUGCACUUCGCUGGAUACACUAUGGUCUUCUUGGAGAGAUUUUGUAUGUGUUGGGCUACAGUAAGAGCCAGAAGGGGCGAGAUGUAACCAUUUCCCCAGCUUCCAUUCCCAUAUCAGGGAGAACUUG